CUCGCAGCACAGGAGCUGGCUUCACUCGAGUGUGCAGUUUAGAAGUCAAAACAAAACAAAACAAAACAAGCAAACCAAAAGAUUUUUUCCAAGUGCCACCGUUUUGGAGGAGGCUGAAGAAAAAGAACCCCAAACUGGCUAAAUGCUGAAGGAUGCAGGCAGACAGGGGCACAGAGCGAACCCAAACGCAGUUUGAGUGUGGGCUCUGAAGUGCAAUCCAGGCUGGGCCAAAAGGUACAGUUAGUGACAAAAAUCAGCGUGGAGCAGAACGUGUAAUCACUGAUCUGGGGCUGAAAAUGAUCCUGAAAUGCAACAGAAGUCAGAAAUGCAACAGAAUAUCAGGCGUAUUAUGGAAGAUGCACUAUAAAUAAGAGCAUAUCUAAUUAUUUCAAGAGAAAGAUGCCGGACAGAAUCUUUAAUCAACUUUCUUAACAGGGAAGCAAGAGUUCUGCUGCUUCGUAUGGCAAGCUAUUUUAAUACUGCUGUGUUCAAAAUUGUGUGAUUACAGUUACCAAUGGCAAUAAGAUGUAGCUCCAGAGGGGAGUCCUAGUGGCUGCAAAAGUUUUUUCUCUCUUAUUUCUACAAUAUUUUUGCUCUCUCAAGCCUCAAGUCCACGGUCUCUGUCCUCUAGUUUGGCUUUGCUUUUUACCUGGGUUUUCAGUGCCAACUCUGGACUUCCUAUGGAACAGAAAACAAAACAUUUCGGCAUUUGGAGUAAUUCUGGUAUGUUUUUCUACAUCGUGCUAAUGGUAAAAAUGCAGUUGACAAAGGAUUGGGCUCCACCAACUUCUGCCACAGACAGCUGAGGAAUGCAAAGCCUGAUGGUGACAAAGGGUGACCAUUUCCUAUUUUUCACCAUUUAUCUCACCGAUUUCAGACUUAGCAAUGGAUACCCUUUGUGAUGAGGAAAGCUCUGUGAACCCAACUGCAAACUCCUUAAUGCAAAUAAAUCAUGAGAGGAGACUCUACAGAAACGUUUACGGACCAGGAGAGACUAAUGUGUCACAUUUCUGUAACUUGACUGCGGACUCCGAAAACCUGACCAAUCUUUCAUGUGAAAGUCCUCAGUGCUACUCGUCCCUCUUUCAGCUCUCAGAGAAAAACUGGCCAGCUCUGCUGACAGUGAUAGUGAUUGUUUUAACCAUUGCUGGGAAUAUUCUUGUCAUCAUGGCUGUGUCACUGGAGAAAAAGCUGCAGAAUGCCACUAACUAUUUUCUCAUGUCACUUGCAAUAGCUGAUAUGCUGCUGGGUUUCCUUGUCAUGCCCGUGUCAAUGUUAACCAUACUGUACGAAUACACGUGGCCUCUGCCUAAGGAGCUGUGUGCCAUUUGGAUCUACCUGGACGUGCUUUUCUCCACUGCCUCCAUCAUGCACCUCUGUGCCAUCUCAUUGGAUCGUUACAUUGCCAUUCGAAAUCCCAUCUACCACAGCAGGUUUAACUCAAGAACAAAGGCUUUUGCAAAAAUAAUCGCUGUUUGGACCAUAUCAGUUGGUAUCUCCAUGCCUAUCCCUGUCUUUGGACUACAAGAUGACUCCAAAGUGUUUAAGAAAGGCCACUGCCUUCUUGCAGAUGAUAAUUUUGUGCUAGUAGGCUCCUUUGCGGCAUUCUUCAUCCCUCUAACCAUCAUGGUGGUCACUUAUUUUUUAACUAUCAAGUCACUGCAGAAAGAAGCCAUGCUGUGCGUGAAUGACGUUGGCCCGAAGACCAAGUUUGCUUCUUUUAGUUUCCUCCCUCAGAGCUCCCUUUCUUCAGAGAAACUCUUCCAGCGUUCUUUGAACAGGGACAUGGGGACCUCUGGGAGGAGAACCAUGCAAUCCAUCAGCAAUGAGCAGAAGGCUUCCAAGGUCCUUGGCAUUGUCUUUUUUCUGUUUGUUGUGAUGUGGUGCCCGUUUUUCAUCACCAAUGUGAUGUCUGUAAUCUGUAAGGAGUCGUGCAGUGAAGAAGUCAUUGAUGGGCUACUUAACAUAUUUGUUUGGAUUGGGUACCUUUCUUCAGCCGUCAACCCACUCGUGUAUACGUUGUUCAAUAAGACCUACCGCUCAGCUUUCUCUCGUUACAUUCAGUGUCGCUACAAGGAGGAGAAGAAACCUUUCCAGCUGAUUUUAGUGAAUACUAUCCCAGCGCUUGCGUAUAAUUCUAGCCAGCUCCACCUGGCUCAAAUGAAGAGUUUGAAAAAAGAGGCAAAAUUGAUGACCAAGGAUUAUUCGAUGGUCAAGAUCGGAAUACGCCAUAUGGAUGGUACCUCAAAGGGAAGCAUCAGUCCAGGGAACGAAAAGGUCAGCGGCGUGUGAAUCUACCAGCUGUUGGCAGCUGCCAUGACAACCCCAAGCAUACACUGAGAAUUUCAUCUCGUGGUGAGAUGCUCUGAGAGUGCAAGAAAAUCAGCCAUGUCUGAGAAACCCUCCAGUAACAUCACAUACGCCUCAUGUUAUCCUGUUGAUGAAAAGCAGGGUGGAAUGGGAUGAUGACAGAGUCAAGUCCGAAUUUGUAGCACCCACCGUGCCAGUUCUGCAGGAGGCUGUUAAUCAGGAGAUGGCAAUGAUAAGUCAUCAAUGAUAAGUCAUACUGCUGCCAGAUCUCAAAGUUCAGCCAUUUUCAACCAGAAUUUGUUGACAGGCUUGGGACGAACACUACUGUUUGAUAUGACCAGCUUCAGAGCAACAACUCCAUCUUGUAAAAAAAAGAGUGAGUGUUUUCAUUAUGCACCAGACCAGAAUGGAAAUUGUGAAAAUUUCCAGGAAAAAAAAAAAAAGAAGAAGAAAAGAAAAGAAAAGAGACAUUCACACUGACUAGAUCAGAGGUCAGGGCCUUCCCCUGCUGUACAGGAAAAGCAUGAUGAGUCAGUCUGUCACACCCACAUCUAACAGAACUGCUGCAUCUGAAAAAUGCUUUAACUGACAAUUUUUCAAGCAGUUCUACAUUUUAUUACUGCUGAGACUGCAUCUGAGAAAUGCCCAAAGACAUGAAGCUCACCAUGUAUCUCCUAAGCUGGUGUGCAUACUUUAUACACUUCAGGGUAAAGCAUCCUAAGUAUCGAUCCCAUCCAGCUGAUCAUGCACUGUACUUAUGUAAUUAUUGGCAAAUGGUGAGAUGCAUUCUAUUUUGAAUACUUGUAUCUUUGCUUAUGUAAAUACAUAGAGAAAAAUGUUUGCUGUAUUUUGUAAAUGCUAAUG